rnacentral:rRNA from 1 species
GUCGAGAAUCUUUCACAAUGGGGGCAACCCUGAUGGAGCGACGCCGCGUGGAGGAUAAGGUCUUCGGAUUGUAAACUCCUGUCAUGCGUGAACAAGGUUGCUUGGAUAAUACCUGAGCAAAUUGAUGGUAGCGCAAGAGGAAGAGACGGCUAACUCUGUGCCAGCAGCCGCGGUAAUACAGAGGUCUCAAGCGUUGUUCGGAAUCACUGGGCGUAAAGGGUGCGUAGGUGGCGUGGCAAGUCAGAUGUGAAAGCCCGGGGCUCAACCUCGGAACUGCAUCCGAUACUGCCAUGCUAGAGUACUGGAGGGGUGACUAGAAUUCUCGGUGUAGCAGUGAAAUGUGUAGAUAUCGAGAGGAAUACCAAAGGCGUAGGCAGGUCACUGGACAGUUACUGACACUGAGGCACGAAGGCCAGGGGAGCGAACGGGAUUAGAAACCCGAGUAGUCC